GGUUAAGUGAAUAAGGGCGCACGGUGGAUGCCUUGGCACUAGGAGCCGAUGAAGGACGGGACUAACACCGAUAUGCUUUGGGGAGCUGUAAGUAAGCUAUGAUCCAGAGAUUUCCGAAUGGGGGAACCCAAUAUCUUUUAUAGGAUAUUACUUUUCAGUGAAUACAUAGCUGAUUAGAGGUAGACGCAGAGAACUGAAACAUCUUAGUACCUGCAGGAAGAGAAAGAAAAUUCGAUUCCCUGAGUAGCGGCGAGCGAAACGGGAAGAGCCCAAACCAACAAGCUUGCUUGUUGGGGUUGUAGGACUCCAAUAUGGUAGUCUGUUAGUAUAGUUGAAGGAUUUGGAAAAUUCCGCUAAAGAGGGUGAAAGCCCCGUAGACGAAAUGCUGACAACACCUAGGAGGAUCCUGAGUACGGCGGAACACGAGAAAUUCCGUCGGAAUCCGCGGGGACCAUCCCGCAAGGCUAAAUACUCCCUAGUGACCGAUAGUGAACCAGUACCGUGAGGGAAAGGUGAAAAGCACCCCGGAAGGGGAGUGAAAUAGAUCCUGAAACCGUGUGCCUACAACAAGUCAAAGCUCGUUAAUGAGUGAUGGCGUGCCUUUUGUAGAAUGAACCGGCGAGUUACGAUUGCAUGCGAGGUUAAGUCGAAGAGACGGAGCCGCAGCGAAAGCGAGUCUGAAUAGGGCGAAUGAGUAUGUAGUCGUAGACCCGAAACCAUGUGAUCUACCCAUGUCCAGGUUGAAGGUGCGGUAAAACGCACUGGAGGACCGAACCCACGUACGUUGAAAAGUGCGGGGAUGAGGUGUGGGU
rnacentral:rRNA from 1 species